CGCACGGCGCACGGGUGCGUAACACGUGGGCAAUCUGCCCUCCGAUGGGGAAUAACCCCGCGAAAGCGGGGCUAAUUCCGCAUAACAUUCCUUGGACUCACGUUCGAGGAUUCAAAGCAGCAAUGCGUCGGAGGAGGAGCCCGCGCCCGAUCAGCUAGUUGGUGAGGUAACGGCUCACCAAGGCAAUGAUCGGUAGCUGGUCUGAGAGGAUGGCCAGCCACACUGGAACUGAGACACGGUCCAGACUCCUACGGGAGGCAGCAGUGGGGAAUCUUGCACAAUGGGCGAAAGCCUGAUGCAGCGACGCCGCGUGGGGGAUGAAGCUUUUCGGAGUGUAAACCCCUUUCGCCUGGGACGAAUGCCCGCAAGGGAGUGACGGUACCAGGAUAAGAAGCCCCGGCUAACUACGUGCCAGCAGCCGCGGUAAGACGUAGGGGGCCAGCGUUGUUCGGAAUUACUGGGUGUAAAGGGUUCGUAGGCGGUGCGGCAAGUUGGGAGUGAAAUCUCUGGGCUCAACCCAGAGGCUGCUUCCAA
rnacentral:rRNA from 1 species